rnacentral:lncRNA from 1 species
UGUUAAGGAUGUUUGCAUCUAUGCUCAUGAAGAAUACUGGUCUUUUUCUUGUAAUGUUUUAAACCAGAAGUACAUGUAAUGUAGUAAACCAGAAUACACUGGCUUGAUGAAUUGGUCAAGGUUCCCUUUUCCUCUGUUUUCUCUAAGAUUUUGUGUAGGAUGGGGACCAUUUUCUCCUAACAUGUUUGAUAGAAUUCACUAGUGAAGGUACUGUGGUGUGAAGUUUCACUGUGGAAAUGUCUUUAUUAAUAAAUUCAAUGUAUUUAAAAGGGUGUGUAUGGUUCAUCUGAUUUCCCAUUUCUUCCUGUCACAAUUUUGGUAACUUUUGUUUUUCAAAGAACUCGUCCAUUUCUUUGAAGUAGUCAGAUUUGUUGACAUGAAGUUGUUUAUAAUAUUGCCUUGUUCUCCUUCUCUAGAAAUGGUAUCAUCUACUGCUGCAUAGGCAAACACUUAGAAGCUUAAAACAAAUAUUUAAAGAUUUCACAUAGGUUCCUAGGUUCUGGGUCAGGAAUUCCAAAGUGUGGUAGUUGGGUGGCCCUGGCCCAGGGGCUCUCAUGAAGCUGCAUGCCAUCAGAGGUUGGGGAAGGCCAUAGCCAUUGGGAGGGCUGACCAGGAAUGCAGAAUUGGCCAUCAGGGCAGUUCACACAUGAGUUGGACAGAUUAGGAUUGGUUGCUGGCAGGAGGUCCUUGUCAUGUGAACCUUGCCACUAGGCUUCUUAUCUGUGGUCAUAACAUGACAGCUGGCUGCUCCCAGAGUAGGGGAUUCAAUGCCAAACAAGGUGGACAACACAAUGUCUUUGAGGCCUGGCCUUGGGAGUCACACUUGGCCUCCUGCUACGUGUUGUGGAUGUCAUAGUGAACAGAGUCCAACCCUCAGACGGUCUGACCAUGUGUGGAAGAAGUGAGCCACAAAGCGGAG